rnacentral:rRNA from 1 species
UACGGAGGGUGCGAGCGUUGUCCGGAAUCAUUGGGCGUAAAGGGCGCGUAGGUGGCCGUGCUAAGCGUGCGGUGAAGCUACGGGGCUCAACCCCGAGUCGGCCCGUGCGAACUGGUGGGCUUGAGCACUGUAGGAGGCAGGCGGAAUUCCGGGUGUAGCGGUGGAAUGCGUAGAGAUCCGAAAGAACACCGGUGGCGAAGGCGGCCUGCUGGGCAGUGAGCUGACACUGAGGCGCGGACAGCGUGGGGAGCAAACAGG